GACGAACGCUGGCGGCGUGCCUAAUACAUGCAAGUCGAACGCUGAAGCGAGGAGCUUGCUCUUCUUGGAUUAGUUGCGAACGGGUGAGUAACGCGUAGGUAACCUGCCUGUAAGCGGGGGAUAACUACUGGAAACGAUAGCUAAUACCGCAUAAAAUUGAUUAUUGCAUGGUUCAUUAUUGAAAGAUGCAACUGCAUCCCUACCUGAUUGACCUGCGGUGGAUUAGCUAGUUUGCGAGGUAACGGGCCAACAAGGCGACGGUACAUAGCCGACCCGGGGGGGGGGUCGGCCAACCUGGGACCUGGACCAGGGCCAGACCCCUUAGGGAGGCCGCAGGAGGGAAACUUCGGCAAUGGGGGGAACGCUGGCCGAGCAACGCCGCGGGAGGGAAGAAGGGUUUCGGAUCGUAAAGCUCCGUUGUAAGGGAAGAACGGGUGUGAGAGUGAAAAGUUCACACUGUGACGGUACCUUAUCAGAAAGCGACGGCUAACUACGUG
rnacentral:rRNA from 1 species